GCUGAACUGAGAGUGAAGAGAAAGAAUACAGUGGAGUCUAAUAGCAAGUCUGUUUUGUAAACCUUGUCUCUCCCUUCAGUGUCCUCUGAGCUAAACAUCUUGAUUGGAUGACAUUAUCUCCUUUCUAUUUUAAGUAGAAAAUUCCUCUAACAAUUUUAUUUUGAAUAUCUAUUGGAAUUUUUUUCAAAGCACAAAUAUAAUAAGGUAAGAAAUUUUAUAGUAUCAACAGGUGAGAGAGAUUCACAAAACAUAAGUUAUUUCAAUAUAUUAGGAUACAUUUUAUAGGAAAAAGAAACCCUGAAGAGUUUUUUUUUUUUUAAUUUAAUCUAUAAAUUUCAAUUAUAAUGAAAAAAAUCACUAUCUACUUUUUGAGAAUUACAAAAUUUAUAUUUCAAUCUUCAACUUGCCCUUGAUCCUCCCUCUGGCUCCUAUUGCCUAGAGAACUCCCUUUGAAUAUCUCAAACACAUUUUUAAAUUAAUGGACUUAAACACAUGACCUAGUUAAUUUAAAGUUUUUUCCUUUUGUACUCUUCAUUUGAGUGAGUUUCAUUUACCUCCCUGUUGAAGUCUCAACCCUGAUUUCUCUUUUUCUUAGUCCCAAUAUCUAAUCCUUCAUGUGUGGAGUGUGUGUGUGUGUGUGUGUGUGUGUGUGUGUGUGAUGCACAUGCACAUGCACUUUUAAUCCUUCCGCUUCUUUACUCUUCAAAUGCCAAUGCCAUAUCAUAUCAAACCAGACAACUGUAAUACCUUAGAACCUUUUCUCCCCAGAACCUAUUUUUUGCUCAGUCUCUUUCAUUCUGAACAAAACAAUAAAAGUAAAAAUUUAAACUCACAAAUAUAAUAAUGCUUUUUUCCCAUUAACAGUGCAAUAUUUUCAUAAUUUAAAAAAAUCAAAGACCUUUAAAAAUACUCAACGUUGGAUAAAUAUUAGAUGCUGCUUAAUUCUUUCACGUGGAGUUGUGUCUUUCUCCUUCUGUUCCUUCUGCUCCAGACACAUGUUUCUAUAAAUUCCAUGUAAAGUUAAGAUGGGCAAGCCUUGGUUUCUGCUACUCCCCAGCCACAUAUGUGCUUUCCUUGAGUUAUUUCCUUGGUUGGCUAGUCAUUUAAUUCAAGUUUUGGCCUAAAGUUUAUACCCUCUGUGUGAGCUUUCUUUUCUCUGCAGUCAUAUUAAAUCAACUGAUGCCUUUUUCAAUCGUGUUUUUCUACACAGUUCUUACUUGAAACUUUUUUUUUUUUCAUUCCUUGUGCAUCCUCAUCUGCACUAAAUUAUGAUGAACUCCCAUACUGGUUCGACUUAUCACUUCAUACCUAUCUAGCAGAUUGCUACUUGUAAAAGGGCAACUGGAACUGUGCUGCUCGGUAUAGGUAUAGUGGUUAUCUAAAUUUAAAUUUUUCAUUAAUUAAAAAUUAAACAAAAUUACAAGCAUAGUUCCUCUGUUGUAAGUGCCACAUUUCAUCUGUUAAAUAGGCAAAUCAGGCUAAUGGCUACCACAUUAGACAGUGUUG
rnacentral:lncRNA from 1 species